rnacentral:rRNA from 1 species
GUGGGGAAUAUUGGACAAUGGGGGGAACCCUGAUCCAGCCAUGCCGCGUGUGUGAAGAAGGCCUUUUGGUUGUAAAGCACUUUAAGCGAGGAGGAGGCUACCGAGAUUAAUACUCUUGGAUAGUGGACGUUACUCGCAGAAUAAGCACCGGCUAACUCUGUGCCAGCAGCCGCGGUAAUACAGAGGGUGCAAGCGUUAAUCGGAUUUACUGGGCGUAAAGCGCGCGUAGGUGGCCAAUUAAGUCAAAUGUGAAAUCCCCGAGCUUAACUUGGGAAUUGCAUUCGAUACUGGGAAGCUAGAGUAUGGGAGAGGAUGGUAGAAUUCCAGGUGUAGCGGUGAAAUGCGUGGAGAUCUGGAGGAAUACCGAUGGCGAAGGCAGCCAUCUGGCCUAAUACUGACGCUGAGGUACGAAAGCAUGGGGAGCAAACAGGAUUAGAUACCCGUGUAGUCC